CUCACACCACGGGUUUUCGCUUUUAUUUGUUGCACCGUACGCGUUUUCACGAGAGCAGCUGGGCGUUUCCAUGCUGAUUAAAAUACGUUUACCAAAUAAGUCAGGCUUACUGUCGUUAGCUAGUUUAAACUAAAUCAACUGGCAAUAAGUUAAGACUGACUCGGAAGUGUGACAACUAGCCCCGGUGCCCUUCGGACCUCUACACUGAGGAGUCCAUCUGGAUCUUCAGAAACGAGACGAUAUGAGUCAGAGAUCCACACCGAGGGCAACUACACGCAUCAUUAAAACAAGAAAAAACACUAAGAUCUAAAUGCAGGUCUGGGAUCAGAUCUCUUUCAGUGAUUAAAAGGCAUGAGUAAACGUCAACUUUUAUAAGGUAGCCUUUCGCAGUCUCCACAAAGAUAUUGUGCAGCACAACCAUUUUCAACACUGAUGAUCGUUCUUAAGAGAUCUGAGCGUGCUGCGUGUUCCAGACAUUCCAUGAGCGCAUUUCUGGUUUCCAUGGCAGCAGACGUCAACAUAGAGACACUACAUGAACGUGAAGAGUGGUCACACACACACACACACACACACACACACACACACACACACACACACACUCAAAAAUCAAGACACAGUUGAGUUUUAAAUCAGGUGUGUGAUGAUUCAAAGACAGAUAUAUUCUGAUUGAGAGUCUUGUUGUGAUUCAUUUCUAGGUUACGUUUUCUCUGCAUUUCUCCAUCAUUUCUCAUUAAAUGAUGAACUCUCUGCCGCCGCUGCAGGACUUGAAGAACAAGAUACCAGACGAUCUGAAACAAUCAUUACGAACAUUUGCAUUGUUCUUUAUGACGUGAACCGAUUCACUUCAGAUAACAUAUGAAUCAUCUUGAUCGAGUCUUUCAUGAUGACUCGCGGAGGUUAUGAAUUAGCAUUAUUUAAAUGCACAUUUUCUACAUUUUUGAGGUGUCCUGGUGUGUGACACAUAGUCCGCAGUGGUUGUGAACUCUAUUUUGAGCGUCCGGUGAUUCAGUGGACAAACAUCACCCACACACACACACACACACACACACACACACACAGCUGCUUCGGAUCACUGCGUGCUUCUUACAGAAAGACACAAACAAUGCAAAGGUAGUCUGUUUCUGUUCAUGCAUUCACUGCGAGCUUGCUGUUAUCUCACUGUCGUUUCUAUACUGUAUUGUUAUUGAAUCAUUUAUAGCAUUUUAAUUAUUAAGUAUGUGUGAAAGCAUGCUAAUGUUUAAUGCUCUACUCUCAUCAUCUAUCAAA